GAUGAACGCUGGCGGCGUGCCUAAUACAUGCAAGUCGAGCGAACAGACGAGGAGCUUGCUCCUCUGACGUUAGCGGCGGACGGGUGAGUAACACGUGGAUAACCUACCUAUAAGACUGUGAUAACUUCGGGAAACCGGAGCUAAUACCGGAUAAUAUAUUGAACCGCAUGGUUCAAUAGUGAAAGACGGUUUUGCUGUCACUUAUAGAUGGAUCCGCGCCGCAUUAGCUAGUUGGUAAGGUAACGGCUUACCAAGGCAACGAUGCGUAGCCGACCUGAGAGGGUGAUCGGCCACACUGGAACUGAGACACGGUCCAGACUCCUACGGGAGGCAGCAGUAGGGAAUCUUCCGCAAUGGGCGAAAGCUUGACGGGGCAACGCCGCGUGAGUGAUGAAGGUCUUCGGAUCGUAAAACUCUGUUAUUAGGGAAGAACAAAUGUGUAAGUAACUAUGCACGUCUUGACGGUACCUAAUCAGAAAGCCACGGCUAACUACGUG
rnacentral:rRNA from 1 species